rnacentral:piRNA from 1 species
UCUCAGCCUAAUAGUAGUUUU